CAGUCGCCACGGUAAUACGAAGGGGGCUAGCGUUGUUCGGAAUCACUGGGCGUAAAGCGCACGUAGGCGGAUACUUAAGUCAGGGGUGAAAUCCCGGGGCUCAACCUCGGAACUGCCUUUGAUACUGGGUAUCUUGAGUCCGGGAGAGGUUGGUGGAACUCCGAGUGUAGAGGUGAAAUUCGUAGAUAUUCGGAAGAACACCAGUGGCGAAGGCGGCCAACUGGCCCGGUACUGACGCUGAGGUGCGAAAGCGUGGGGGGCAAACAGGAUUAGAUACCCCCGUAGUCCCUGUCUCUUAUAC
rnacentral:rRNA from 1 species